rnacentral:lncRNA from 1 species
AGUAAUACUUCUACCGUAAGACUUUAUAAGCUAGUGAUUUGCUUCUCAAGUGAUUUUCACAAAUUUUUUCGUGAACUUCUCGGAGAGUAUAAUCCGCUUCGAUAGGUCUCAAACACUUGAGUACUGAAAGAGAGAAUAACCUUUUAUACAAUUGUCCAUUCAUCAGCACAUAUUAUGAAGCCAUCCAUCUUAACCGUUUGGCUUCUAAUGGGUUACCAGGUAGA